rnacentral:misc_RNA from 1 species
AACUUUUGGCAAUGGAUCUUUUGGCUCUCGCAUCGAUGAAGAACGCAGCGAAAUGCGAUACGUAAUGUGAAUUGCAGAAUUCAGUGAAUCAUCGAAUCUUUGAACGCACCUUGCGCCCCUUGGAAUUCCGAGGGGAACACCCGUUUGAGUGUCGUGAAGAUCCUUCAACCUUUCUUGGUUUCUUAACCGGGGAAGGCUUGGACUUUGGGGGUCUUUCAUUGCUGGCCUCUUUGAAGCCAGCUCCUCCUAAAUGGAUUAGUGUGGUCUGCUUUGCCGAUCCUUGACGUGAUAAGAUGUUUCUACGUCUUGGGUUUCGCACUGUCGCUUUAGACCCCGCUUCUAACCGUCUUGCAUUCAAGACAGAGUUUUAAACCUUGACCUCAAAUCGGGUGAGACUACCCGCUGAACUUAAGCAUAUCAAUAAGCGGAGGCU